rnacentral:rRNA from 1 species
GAUGCGAGUCGAGCGGUAGAGAGGUGCUUGCACCUCUUGAGAGCGGCGGACGGGUGAGUAAUGCCUAGGAAUCUGCCUGGUAGUGGGGGAUAACGCUCGGAAACGGACGCUAAUACCGCAUACCUCCUACGGGAGAAAGCAGGGGACCUUCGGGCCUUGCGCUAUCAGAUGAGCCUAGGUCGGAUUAUCUAGUUGGUGGGGUAAUGGCUCACCAAGGCGACAAUCCGUAGCUGGUCUGAGAGGAUGAUCAGUCACACUGGAACUGAGACACGGUCCAGACUCCUACGGGAGGCAGCAGUGGGGAAUAUUGGACAAUGGGCGAAAGCCUGAUCCAGCCAUGCCGCGUGUGUGAAGAAUGUCUUCGGAUUGUAAAGCACUUUAAGUUGGGAGGAAGGGCAUUAACCUAAUACGUUAGUGUUUUGACGUUACCGACAGAAUAAGCACCGGCUAACUCUGUGCCGGCAGCCGCGGUAAUACAGAGGGUGCAAGCGUUAAUCAGAAUUACUGGGCGUAAAGCGCGCGUAGGUGGGUCGUUAAGUUGGAUGUGAAAGCCCCGGGCUCAACCUGGGAACUGCAUUCAAAACUGUCGAGCUAGAGAUGGUAGAGGGUGGUGGAAUUUCCUGUGAGCGGUGAAUGCGUAGAUAUAGGAAGGACACCAAUGGCGAACGCGCCACCUGGACUGAUACUGACACUGAGGUGCGAAACCGUGGGGAGCAACACGAUUAGAUACCCUGGUAUCACGCCCUUAAAUAAUGUCAACUAGCCGUUGGGAGCCUUGAGCUCUUAGUGGCGCAGCUAAC